CCUACGGGAGGCAGCAGUGAGGAAUAUUGGUCAAUGGCCGCAGGGCUGAACCAGCCAAGUCGCGUGAGGGAUGACGGUCCUAUGGAUUGUAAACCUCUUUUGUCAGGGAGCAAAGGGCGCCACGUGUGGCGUUUUGCGAGUACCUGAAGAAAAAGCCUCGGCUCACUCCGUUCCAGCAGCCGCGGUAAUACGGAGGAUGCGUGCGUUAUCCGGAUUGAUUGGGUUUAAAGGGUGCGCAGGCGGAAUGUCAAGUCAGCGGUAAAAUAUCGGGGCUCAACCCCGUCGUGACGUUGAAACUGGUGUUCUUGAGUGAGCGAGAAGGAUGCGGAAUGCGUGGGGUAGCGGGGAAAUG
rnacentral:rRNA from 1 species